AUGACCUUCCAGUCAAAUGAAGAAGACUUUCUUGGGUUCCUCAUAAGUGCUCUUGCACAGCUCAGUGGAUGGGGGGAGGAGGGGGGAAGGGAGAGAGAGGGGGGAACGCUUAUCAGUCCAAGCCUGAAAACAACUGGGCGCAGCAACUGUUACCGCUGUGGUGAGUCUGGCCAUCUCGCCAAGGACUGUGAUCUCCAGGAGGAAGCCUGCUAUAACUGCGGCAGAGGUGGCCACAUUGCGAAGGACUGCAAGGAGCCGAAGAGGGAGAGGGCGCAGUGCUGCUACAACUGUGGCAAGCCUGGCCACCUGGCUCGCGACUGUGACCACGCAGAUGAGCAGAAGUGCUACUCUUGUGGGGAGUUUGGACACAUCCAAAAAGACUGCACCAAAGUGAAAUGCUAUAGGUGUGGUGAGACUGGCCACGUAGCCAUCAACUGCAGCAAGACCAGCGAAGUCAACUGCUACCGCUGCGGCGAGUCAGGGCACCUUGCGCGGGAAUGCACGAUUGAAGCCACAGCCUAA